rnacentral:rRNA from 1 species
UGCCAGCCGCCGCGGUAAUACGGAGGGUGCAAGCGUUGUUCGGAAUUAUUGGGCGUAAAGCGCGCGUAGGCGGCUUGGUAAGUCGGAUGUGAAAGCCCGGGGCUCAACCCCGGAAUUGCAUUCGAAACUGCCCGGCUAGAGUCUCGGAGAGGAGGGCGGAAUUCCCGGUGUAGAGGUGAAAUUCGUAGAUAUCGGGAGGAACACCAGUGGCGAAGGCGGCCCUCUGGACGAUGACUGACGCUGAGGUGCGAAAGCGUGGGGAGCAAACAGGAUUAGAUA